ACAGUGGUAGUUCAGGGGUAGAAUUCUUACCUUUCAUGUGGGAGACUGGGGUUCAAUUCCCAGCCAAUGUG
rnacentral:tRNA from 1 species